GCUAGUAAUCGCGGAUCAGCAUGCCGCGGUGAAUACGUUCCCGGGCCUUGUACACACCGCCCGUCACACCAUGGGAGCCGGUAAUACCCGAAGUCAGUAGUCCAACCACGUGAGGACGCUGCCGAAGGUAGGAUUGGCGACUGGGGUGAAGUCGUAACAAGGUAUC
rnacentral:rRNA from 1 species